UCUUCUUUUCAACUUCAGCUUUUUCCCUCACGAGCUCCACCUUUUCGACCUCAAUCCUCGCAACUUCAGCCUUUAGGGCCUCUUGAGUCCUCUCGUUCACGACUUGGUCUUGGCGCAUUUUCUCCCUACAUGCCUUCGCCGCCUCCAAGACUGCCUUCAAGGAACUAGUCAACUCUGCUACUUCUGUUUUUAACUUGGGCACCACCACAAUUUUUGUCCUUUCCAGCUCCUCACCCAGGGCCUUGCCGACCACCAUCGUGCGACUCUAUAAUUCCACCCACUCAGUGAUCAGGUUGAUAAUGGACACGACCGCCAACAGACUUUCAUCCUUGGGCAACAGGUCGAUCUGUACACCCUGCGCCACUUGCAAACGUGGAUUUAACAUGGAGGGUUGCCGGGAGGAUGAUCUUGCCUCUCCACCCAAAGCAAUUGUUUUGGUCAACCGACCCCUCUUACGAUUAUCUGGAGGAGCAGCAGGGGCGCUACAUGGAACCACGUCAACCGAACAACCAGAUUUUCCUUCCCAAUAACCUCAAAGCUACCUACCUUCUUGUUCGUUGCCUGACAUCUCAGGUUGGUCAUAAAACCUCCCAAAGAUGGAUCCAUCCAAUUGAUGAUAGUUGCAAGACACAAACGAAAUUAAACAACAUCAACAUAACAGAGACAACCUCAAGCAUAAGAAAUCUACAUACCAUUAAAAUUCGCACACAUCUUGGACGACCCGUACAAUGCUAUCAGUUUUCGAGGUAGGUACCAGACGAGCCUUUCUCGGUCUCGGUCACUGAACGCCCGAGUCUAACAACAUAAAAAAAUAAGAAUAAAAGUCCAACAACAUCAUGAUGGCGUUGAAUGAGUCAGCCCACGUUCUAGAAUAUACAGUAAAUAUCUCUAACGUAACAAAUAAAUUGAAAGAUACACCUCAUAUAUGAAGGAACUGUCAUGCACGUCAAUUAACAAUUG
rnacentral:lncRNA from 1 species